rnacentral:rRNA from 1 species
CGCGUAGGCGGUUGACACAGUCAGGUGUGAAAUUCCCGGGCUUAACCUGGGGGCUGCAUUUGAGACGUGUUGACUAGAGUGUGAGAGAGGGUUGUGGAAUUCUCAGUGUAGAGGUGAAAUUCGUAGAUAUUGGGAAGAACACCGGUGGCGAAGGCGGCAACCUGGCUCAUAACUGACGCUGAGGCGCGAAAGCGUGGGGAGCAAACA